GGGAAAGAUUAAGGAAGUAUAGUAUCCAGAGUGGGUGAUUAACAUGAAAUGGGAUAUUGCUAGAAAUAGGGAUAGAAAGCUGUUACAAAUAAAUAAGAAAUGGCUCAUUGAGAAUGGUUUGGAUGAGGAAUACGUUUAUUUUUCAACAAUGUUCAGUACACAAUAUGAAAACAUUAAAGGACCACUAUAGUGCCAGGAAAACAUACUCGUGGCACCCCCUCCCGCUGGGCUCUGGGGAGAGUAAGGGGUUAAACUUACCUCUUUCUCCAGCGCCGGGCGGGAAGCUUUCCUCCUCCUCUCCUCCCUCUUCUCCUCCUCUUCGGCUGAAUGCGCAUGAUUUUCACAG